rnacentral:tRNA from 1 species
UCUUCAAUAGGUUAUUUAAAACUGUUGUCUUGUGGAGACAGAGAUUCGUUGUGUGUGAUUGAGGAA